rnacentral:misc_RNA from 1 species
GUAAGGGCGCGGUAUUGCUGGGAUCCUCUUGAUGUUAAUGGUGCAAAACCAACCAUAAAGAAAUGUAGACGAGGGAAUGGAAUAAGAUUGACAGCAAGCUUUCGUAGAUCAGAGUUCAAUUGUCCAGGGAAUCGUAGACAACAAGUAACACCGCUCAUUGUAGCAGAGAUAAGGUGGUUCAGAUCACCAAAUGUUGGAGUAGCAAGCUUGAGUGUGCGGAAGCAAAUAUCGUAGAGGGCUUCAUUGUCAAGAACCAUGCAUUCAUCAGCAUUUUCAACAAGCUGGUGAACAGACAAAGUGGCAUUGUAUGGUUCUACAACUGUGUCUGAAACCUUGGGAGAAGGAAAUACAGAAAAUGUCAACAUCAUGCGAUCUGGGUACUCCUCCCUGAUCUUUGAAAUCAGAAGUGUUCCCAUUCCAGA